GCCAGCAUAGUGUAGUGGUUUAAGCUUUGGAAUAUGACUCUGGAGACCAGGGUUCAAAUCCCUACUCUGCCA
rnacentral:tRNA from 1 species